GACGAACGCUGGCGGCGUGCUUAACACAUGCAAGUCGAACGGAAAGGCCCUGCUUUUGUGGGGUGCUCGAGUGGCGAACGGGUGAGUAACACGUGAGUAACCUGCCCUUGACUUUGGGAUAACUUCAGGAAACUGGGGCUAAUACCGGAUAGGAGCUCCUGCUGCAUGGUGGGGGUUGGAAAGUUUCGGCGGUUGGGGAUGGACUCGCGGCUUAUCAGCUUGUUGGUGGGGUAGUGGCUUACCAAGGCUUUGACGGGUAGCCGGCCUGAGAGGGUGACCGGCCACAUUGGGACUGCGGUACGGCCCAGACUGCUACGGGAGGCAGCAGUGGGGAAUAUUGCACAAUGGGGGGAAGCCUGAUGCAGCAACGCCGCGUGCGGGAUGACGGCCUUCGGGUUGUAAACCGCUUUCGCCUGUGACGAAGCGUGAGUGACGGUAAUGGGUAAAGAAGCACCGGCUAACUACGUG
rnacentral:rRNA from 1 species